GUGAGGAAUAUUGGGCAAUGGGCGAAAGCCUGACCCAGCCACGCCGCGUGAGUGAUGAAGGCCUUCGGGUUGUAAAGCUCUGUGGGGAGGGAAGAAAAAGCGGGAGAGUAACUGCUCUCGUGUUGACGGUACCUCCUUAGCCAGCACCGGCUAACUCUGUGCCAGCAGCCGCGGUAAUACAGCGGGUGCAAACGUUGCUCGGAAUUACUGGGCGUAAAGCGCGUGUAGGCUGACAUGCAAGUCGGGUGUGAAAUCCCAGGGCUCAACCUUGGAACUGCACUCGAAAAUGCACGUCUUGAGUACUGGAGAGGGAAGCAGAAUUCCGGGUGUAGAGGUGAAAUUCGUAGAUAUCCGGAGGAACACCAGUGGCGAAGGCGGCUUCCUGGACAGUAACUGACGCUGAGACGCGAAAGCGUGGGCAGCAAACAGGAUUAGAAACCCCUGUAGUCC
rnacentral:rRNA from 1 species